rnacentral:rRNA from 1 species
CUAGAUUGAUGGCGAGUGGCGAACGGGUGAGUAAUACAUCGGAACGUGCCCUGUAGUGGGGGAUAACUAGUCGAAAGAUURGCUAAUACCGCAUACGACCUGAGGGUGAAAGUGGGGGACCGCAAGGCCUCAUGCUAUAGGAGCGGCCGAUGUCUGAUUAGCUAGUUGGUGGGGUAAAGGCCCACCAAGGCGACGAUCAGUAGCUGGUCUGAGAGGACGAUCAGCCACACUGGGACUGAGACACGGCCCAGACUCCUACGGGAGGCAGCAGUGGGGAAUUUUGGACAAUGGGCGAAAGCCUGAUCCAGCAAUGCCGCGUGUGUGAAGAAGGCCUUCGGGUUGUAAAGCACUUUUGUCCGGAAAGAAAUGGCUCUGGUUAAUACCUGGGGUCGAUGACGGUACCGGAAGAAUAAGGACCGGCUAACUACGUGCCAGCAGCCGCGGUAAUACGUAGGGUCCAAGCGUUAAUCGGAAUUACUGGGCGUAAAGCGUGCGCAGGCGGUUGUGCAAGACCGAUGUGAAAUCCCCGAGCUUAACUUGGGAAUUGCAUUGGUGACUGCACGGCUAGAGUGUGUCAGAGGGGGGUAGAAUUCCACGUGUAGCAGUGAAAUGCGUAGAGAUGUGGAGGAAUACCGAUGGCGAAGGCAGCCCCCUGGGAUAACACUGACGCUCAUGCACGAAAGCGUGGGGAGCAAACAGGAUUAGAUACCCUGGUAGUCCACGCCCUAAACGAUGUCAACUAGUUGUUGGGGAUUCAUUUCCUUAGUAACGUAGCUAACGCGUGAAGUUGACCGCCUGGGGAGUACGGUCGCAAGAUUAAAACUCAAAGGAAUUGACGGGGAACCCCGCACAAGCGGUGGAUGAUGGUGGAUUAAUUCGAUGCAACGCGAAAAAACCUUACCUACCCUUUG